CACCACUGAACCACUCAUCGCUAGAGCUAAAGGCUGAAACUCGCUCGUCUGUGGUUCCAUCCGCAUCACAAUGGCCGCCUUUGGAUUUUUAACCUAGGAUUGACCUCGUUCCCUCACCUGCUCACCCAACUAAUUAUCAGAAAUUGGUGCACCCACAACGAGUUGAACCUUUGGCUCGGGCCUGGGGGGGACAGGCUUUCAUUUCGAGGUUGGUCAGUGUACAUAGGGCGUUUUCAUUUAUCACACUUCACAACAACUUGGGCAGGUCCCGUACUCACCAUUCCUUCCAUUUCUUCUGUCACCUCCUCUUCUUCCAGAAUAACCUCCAUGCGAUCAUCCUCGUGGUAGUUCGUUCCAUCCUCAAACGGCUCCAAAAUAGAGAAACAUGAUGGCGAUGCCACAUGUGGCAAAUAUUCCUUGGCUUGCAGAUUGGUUCUGACCCCUUGGCGAUCGCUGAGUGGAGCCCAAAUGAACCGUCUGCCACCCAUCAUUCAUUUCUUUAUUGUGGUUGACCAAAUUGCCCUUAUCCCUGUCCCCACGC
rnacentral:lncRNA from 1 species